GUCGAGAAUCUUUCACAAUGGGGGCAACCCUGAUGGAGCGACGCCGCGUGGAGGAUAAGGUCUUCGGAUUGUAAACUCCUGUCAUGCGUGAACAAGGUUGUUUGGUUAAUACCUGGGCAAAUUGAUGGUAACGCAAGAGGAAGAGACGGCUAACUCUGUGCCAGCAGCCGCGGUAAUACAGAGGUCUCAAGCGUUGUUCGGAAUCACUGGGCGUAAAGGGUGCGUAGGUGGCGUGGUAAGUCAGAUGUGAAAGCCCGGGGCUCAACCUCGGAACUGCAUCCGAUACUGCCAUGCUAGAGUACUGGAGAGGUGACUAGAAUUCUCGGUGUAGCAGUGAAAUGCGUAGAUAUCGAGAGGAAUACCAAAGGCGUAGGCAGGUCACUGGACAGUUACUGACACUGAGGCACGAAGGCCAGGGGAGCGAACGGGAUUAGAAACCCCGGUAGUCC
rnacentral:rRNA from 1 species